ensembl:lncRNA novel transcript
GUUGAAACUGAUAGCGUUUAAUUUUUAUUCUAUCAGAAAGAUUUUACUGAGAAUCUUCUACAAGCAAUGUAUAGACUAGGCUGAAACAAUUCUAGAUAAUAGUCAUGGGACAUUAAGGAUCACACAGUAUUUGUGAAUCAAAGAUGCUUCUUGACUAAAAGACUUAGCUCUGAUGGCCCUUUCCUCAGGAAAGAAGAAUGUGGAUAAUUAUGUACUUCAAAUAUCAGGAUGCUCUUUUCUUGCCUCUGAAUCUAACACAAACGUGGCUUAGUUCUUGCAGAAGCAGCAAGAUCCUGAUAAAGCUACAACUCGUUUCACUUCUCUUUGAGUCCAAUGCUACAAUAACAAGUAUGUUUAAUGUGUGAUCUCAGAUUCUCAAAUAUAACUAAGAAAUCUAUGACCAUUAGUUUAUUUCCACAAUGUUUUUAUUAUAACGGAUUCAAAAUACUACUGUGCAUCAACUAAUAUUAAUAAUAAUAUUCAACAUUU